GCCACCCUGAUAGAAUCUUAAGCACAGGCAUGGCUUGUGGCUUCCUUGCCUCCUAGGAAUUUAGUUUAUUUUAUCUUCACAAAAGUGUCUGAAGGAUUUCUAGAUAAAGAAAAGAAAGUCCUUAUUUUGUACCGUGUGGUACCAACUGAAGCUGGAGUUUUCAUUUUGUUAGUUGCCAAGGAUCUGCAAAGUGAGGCAAAGUAAGGAUGUGCAGGGGUGUUGACGUGCUUGAGUGAGUAUAUGCGUGGCACUCAUAUGGCCUGCCUCCAGGUUAGUGUCAGAUAGCAGAUAUACCACACCACAGCCAUUCGUUGCAAAUGGGUCACAGAUUUGUUACUUUAACUGGGAUAUAAGUGGGGUUGAGGUAGGGGGUAUGAGCCUUAAAAGGGGACAAGGGAGGUAGGAAUAUCAGUUGCCUUAUAAAACUCAUUUUAAAACUAUUUUACUCUCUGAAUAGUAAUGUAUAUGGUCAUCCUUUAGCACUGAGUAGAUAGACCAUCCCUAAAAUUUCAUCAAAUAUAAAAUAUAAAUAUUAUAUAAUAUACAAUAAAAUAUAAUAUAUAAAAUAUAUUUACCAGGAGAAAAGCCAGAAAAGGUAGCUCAUAUUUGUAAUCUCAGUACUCAGGAAACAGAGACAGUGGACUUCCAAAUUUGAGACUAGCCUGUUGAACAUAAAAAGUUUUAGGCCAUCCGGGGCUACAUACCGAAAACUUGUGCCAAAAAAGAAAUAUCAACCCCAUGGGUACCCCUGGCUGGCCUGGAAUUCACUGUGCAGGCUGGGUUGGCCUAGAACUCACAGAGAUUCCCCUUGCUCAGGGAUGCACCACUGUGUACCAUCUGGUGUAUUUUAUUUUAUUUUAGAGAUAAAGUCUUAUAUAUCUCAGGUUGGACUUGAAGUCACAACAGUUCUUCUGCUUCAGCCUCUCAAAUACAAAAACAAUUUUUAGGGCAGAUGGUGGUAGUGCCUCUCCCAGGAGACAGAGUCAGGGGAUCUCUGAGUUCAAGGAUAGCCAAAGCUGUACAGAGAAAUCCUGUCAAACUAAACAACC
rnacentral:lncRNA from 1 species